UGAUUAGUCUUAAAAACAUCAUGCAGCUGUUUGAAAAGUGAUCGUAUUGAUGUAUUUUUUAUCAUAUUUCGCACAGACAAGUGCUUAAAUGCUGCUUGUUUUUCUAUGCAUAACGGGUCAUUUUGUUGCGUUUCUGGAGUGGCUAUAAAAAAGUUGACUUAUUGGUCAUUUAUAAAAAGUGCGUGGAAGCGUCAACAGCAAAAGUGUUAAAUAUUAAAAAAGUGAUAAAAAAUAUUAAAAAGUGUACGUUUAUCUAUUUGUUUGUUUAUUUAUUUAUUGUUUUUAUAAAGAAAAAAUGUCAGCAAGCCAAUUUAAAAAAAAAGGCUAAAAUAUAAAGGAUGGCAAAAAAUGAAUUGGUGCAGCAAAAUGAAACGAUACUUAAACAAUUUGUAAGUAUACAAAAUUGGGUCUUUGAUUGAUUAAUUCACUACUUUGCAAUAUAUUAAUACUUAUAUAUUUUUUGAUAAUCUGUUUCCAGAAAGAAUUUAUUGCAAAAACCGGCGGUGAAGGACCCCCUCAAUUCCUUCGGGCUGCCGUUCGAAAGAUUUUUUCUGACAAUUUAGCCUGCCAAUACAGCUGGAAGGGCACCAGUGUAAAGCCAAGUGCAGAAAAGUGUUAUUUAGUGCCAGUAAUCAAAAAUAUUUGUCAUCUAAAAUACACAAGUAACGACAAGGAUAUGAACACAAUCCUUCAGAAACAUUUUGUUCACGCUCGAGACCGGGUUACAAAAAGAAAACGAUCAGAUUGAAGUUCCUGAUUUUUUUAUUUUUUUGGUUUUUCUUUUUUUAUUUAAUUUUUUACUAUAUUUUUUACCACUGGCAUUUACUAAAAUACACCUGAAAAUGAACUA